rnacentral:lncRNA from 1 species
ACCUGUCAAAAUGAGUCCAGAAUACAACUAGAGAUAAAAUGAAAAUUUAGACAUAAAAUCUAUAACAAUUGGAGACAUCCACAAAAUACAACUGCUGCAGCUAACGCCUAACAAUGCUUCAAUUUCUGCAGCUUCAAAGUUCAAACAACAACCUAAGAGUCUUUGAAAUCACUCUGCAAUGGUAGAACCGUUUACAUUAUUAAUAGAAUUCAAGAAAUAACAAACUGCUAACAUCCAACAGCCUAGCACUAUAUAACUCAGAUGGUAGUAGGCUUGAAAUAUGACAGCUUGAGGGCACAAGACUUUACAAAAUGAGAUCAAUGAGUUUGCAGAUACACCUUAAAUUUGAACUAAUUAGUAGAAUUAUAUAAAUUGUUGAUCUAAAAAUUCUUGUUUGUUGUUAAUAUAUUAACAUAUUUAUUAACAUUGUAUUACAAUUUGAAUUCUUACCAGAUAUAUUAAUACUACACGUCAAUUACGGAAGGGUCUUUUCCAUCGCUGGCUAAAUCUGAAGAAACCAAAUUAAAAUAAUGAGUCGUGUGAUAAAUAUAAGCAUAUCCACAACACUUAUAUACAACAAAUAUAGUAACAAUAUUAUUACCUUGUUCAAGCUGCUCUAUUUUAUCAAUAUCUUCCUCAACACUAACAGGUUGUUUUAAUUUUUUAUUUCGAAGCCAAUCUUGAAGACACACUAGAGCUUGCACCAAUUUAGGAGUUAAUGAACUCCUAAAUGAAUCAAGAAGACGUACUCCCGAACUAAACGCACAUUGGGAUGCCACACUUGAAACUAGAACUGCUAAUACAUCACGAGCCAUAUCCGCAAGAACAGGAAAUCUAGCUGAGUUCAAUUUCCACCAGAGAAGAACAUCAAAUUUUUUAGUGUCAUCCUCAAUUUCUUCACCAAAAUAUUUAUCUGACUCUGUUUUAGUAUCCACACCUCCACUCCCACUUUUAUAUUUUUUUAUAUCUUGCAUUAGUGAUUCUAAAAGUCCUGUAUUUUGGGUGCUUACUUGACUGUCAGAAAGCCCGAGAGUAGUAGUGUCCAAUGAAGAACAAUCAGAAGAUGAAGCAAGCACGACACCUUUUGAGAUGAACUUUACAUACUCACUAAAUAAUGAAGUCAUGUACUUCUUCACUUCUGCUUGUAUAGUUUCCCCCGGAUCUUCACCAAACAACUUUACAAGUGCAUAACCAACUGAUUCGAGCUUAUAACGUGGAUCCAAAAUACAUGAGAUGAAAAUUAUCUUGUUCAUUUUCCCCGGAUCACCCCAAUACUUAUUAAACUUUUCCUUCAUCUUAUUUGCCAUUUCACUUAAAACUGUAUCUUUAUUUGCUAUCAAUUGCUUCAAAUAAACAACAACCACACAAAUUUCAAGAAAAUAAAUAUUCGAUGUAACAUAAUGUGAUCCAGAUAUUUUCAAAGUAAGAAGAUAGAAGAUUUCAAUAAACUUUGUAAUUCUUUUUACAUUCUCCCAAUCACUACUCAAAAGUUCACCUGUGGGAAUUCCAUCUUCAAUAUAAGAAUGCUCAAGAUAAUGUCUUAGGCCAAUUUCACUAGAUGCAUAAUGUGAAAAUGCACCUUCAAAUUCAACAUCCCUGCGCAACAUCAAGUAGGUGAAAUUCCACCUAGUUGGAAUAUCCAAGCAUAAAGUUUUUUUACAAUUGAGUUGUUCAUCAUCAAAACAUUCUUGAAACCUCUUCAACCUCGCAGGAGACUGCCUAACAUAUCUCACUGCAUGCCUAAUACGUUCAAUAGACACUGAAGAUUCUUUUAAACCAUCUUUGAUCACAAGAUUCAUGAUGCGAGCCAUACAUCUCACGUGAAGGUGAUUAUCGUUCAUCAAAUUAGUUCCCAUUUUUGUUAAUUGCUUAGACAAUUCUUUUAUUGUCACAUCAUUGGAGCUUGCAUUAUCAACUGUGACAGUGAAGAUCUUAUUUAUCCCCCACUCACGUAAGCACCUACCAAUACCAUUUACCAUAUCUUCGCCUUUAUGACUAACAAUAGGACAAAAAUUAAUUAUUCUUUUAUGCAUAUUCCAUUCACUAUCAAUCCAAUGGGCAGUGAUACACAUAUAAUUGAUUCUUUGCAUAGAAGUCCAGGUAUCCGUGGUAAUACACACUCUUUGUUUCGUUUCUAUAAAAGACCUCUUUAACUUUUGAUUUUCUUCAUUAAAAAGAUCAAAACAAUCCCUAGUUACAGUACUACGGGAAGGGAUCCGAAAAUAAGGUUGCGCCACUUUCAUAAAGUCUCUAAAACCUUCUUUCUCAACAAAGCUGAAAGGAAGCUCAUCAACUAUUACCAUACGACAUAACGCCUUCCUAUACUCUUCUUGAUCAAAUUUCCAAGUAACAACAGCUAUGUCACCCUGACUACCCACGGAACAGAUUGAAAACCUAAAUUUGAUUAUUUUUUAUCAACAAUAGCAGGGCGUUUAGGAUAUUUAAACAUAUGAUAAAGAAGUGUCAACGUACCGUCUUUGGUCUUAAAGUAAUACUCAAUAAAGCAAUAGUCACAUUUUGCUUUUGUACUCCCUUCGGAAGCAAUAAUUUCUGUAAAAUGAUCCCAUACAUUAGACCUUUUUCCCCUUUUUGGGUUAUAUUUGACUCCGUUGUUUCACAUUGGCUUAUUGCAUUUGAAUUAGAAGCCCCACUUUCACCCAUCAUCUUAUCACUUUGUAUAUUUUCAGCCAUGUUAUGAGUCACUACAACAAAAAAAGAAAAGGAAUGAAAAUAACAAUUUUCUUAAUGGAUAUUUAAACAGAAACUGUCAAAAUCGAUCUCAAAACAGCACAAAGCAGAGAAGGCAACAUUUGGAAUUUCAACAAGAAAAGAAACUUACCAUCUGCUGCUCUGGGCUCUGGUUAUGGCGAGAGGGAGAGGCGAG